rnacentral:lncRNA from 1 species
GGGUUGGGCCAGAUAAGAGAAUAUAAGCAGGCUGCCCGAGCCAGCAGUGGCAACGCGCUCGGGUCCCCUUCCACACUGUGGAGGCUUUGUCCUUUCGCUCUUUGCAAUAACUCUUGCUACUGCUCACUCUUUGGGUUCACACUGCCUUUAUGAGCUGUAACACUCACCGCGAAGGUCUGCAGCUUCACUCCUGAAGCCAGCGAGACCACGAACCCACCAGAAGGAAGAAACUCCAAACACAUCUGAACAUCAGAAGGAACAAACUCCGGACACGCCGCCUUUAAGAACUGUAACACUCACGCGAGGGUCCGCGGCUUCAUUCUUGAAGUCGACAGAGUCUUGCUCUGUCGCCCAGGCUGGAGUGAUGAGGCGCGAUCAUCACUCCACCUGGGCUCACUGCACCUCCGCCUCCCGGGUUCAAGCGAUUCUCCUGCUUCAGCCUCCUGAGCAGCUGGGAUUACAGAGUCCCUGUCAUCCAGACUGGAGUGCAGUGGUACAAUCCCGGCUCACUGCAACCUCCACCUCCUGGGUUCAAGCGAUUCUCCUGUCUCAGCCUCUCAAGUACCUGGAAUUACAGGGAAUACAACCAACCUCUUCAUCACAUGAAGACAUUUUUUUCAUGCUUUUCCAUGUUCCUGAAAUGCCCUCCCCUAGGAGCUUCCUCCAAUUUAUCUACUCUUUCACAUUCAAGAAGAGUUGAAUCAAGAUGUUUAAGUCUCUGGAGAGUUAAGUAUUUUGUAGGAGGAAGAAUAUCAAGGUUGUGGAAAAAAAAAAAAAAAAACCUUGUUGUGGCUGAGAAACUGGGCUGGAGUCAGGAGGCUGGUGAUGGCCCCAGUUCUACCACUAACUAGCCAUGUGCCUACGAUGCUUCAUUUCACCUCUUGAGAUCUAAAUUUCCCCGUACGUCAAAGCAAAGAGACAGAUCUCGCUUUGUCGCCUGUCAACGGCUAGAGUGCAGUAGCGUGAUCAUAGCUUACUGCAGCCUCGAACUCCUGAGCUCAAGCAACCCUCCCUCCUCAGCCUUCCCAGGUCUCCUGAUUUCAAGUACAGUUCUUGCCAACACACAGUGGUAAAGGGUAUGAUUACCUAAGCCUUAGCACAGAAGGUAGCACCCCUUACUGGUGAGCUAUCAUGAAACUAUGCGACAAUUUUCUCCAUCUUUUUUAGAGUUGUUUUCCUUGUCUUCCUCCUCAUCACGAUUAUUAUUGCUUUUUCAUUCAGCAAAAAAUCUGGUAGGAGACUGCACAGAAGCAUGAUCACUUGCUAUCAACAGUGUAACCCUACCUAACUUCCCUAAUCCCUAGCAAAUGAAGGAAAAAUCAUAUACAGGCACUGACAAAUAGCAACACAAGAAAGGGCAACAAAAUUACUAAAGAGUAACGCCAUCCUCCCCAACUCAAACCAGGGAAAGUAAGCUUGCCUAGGAACUUAGGCUGAAACUCACCACAGUGCCAAAAACCUGUUUUCUUGAAAAGAGGUAGUGCAGAUAGUGAAUCCACUGAGCCACAUAGGGUGGGAGUUUGCUUUAAGUGCUUUUCUUCUUGCCCACAAACUAGCGUAGGCUGUGACUGGCUCCAGCUGAUCCUUAUCAAGGCAGCUAGUUCUGAGGGCUUGGUUAAGAAGCUCUUCGUUUACUUAAGGGAGCAAAGAGAAGACACGUGAAUUGGAAAAGGAUAUCUAAAAUGUCCCCUAAGGCUUCAUAAAGUUGACAUCUUUCGUCAUGACUUCUACAGUUCAGGAAACCAGCAGGAGACUUUGAUUAAAGUGAGAAGCAGCCAAGAUUCCGGGAAGCGCGUCUUUCUCCUGUCUCCUCCCCAAGAUGUGCGGGUGUCCUUCCCCCAACACCAUGGAAGAAGGGGUCCAGGAAGAAAAUGUCACACUUGCCUGUGACCCCCACCUGGUCUGCAGAAAGGCAGAGAAGACCUGCUUAUGGAGGAAAAAGACGGCCUCUGUCUGGAGCUUCUAUGAAUUACAUAACGAAUAAGUGAUUUCACUACAAAGCAGUGAAAUUUUUAAAAGUUAACCAGUGGCAGAAGUGUCAGGACAGUCUGCACGGGCAAGAAUGAUACCUAAAUCACUACUCAGGCACAGGAGAGAGCAGGACUGGCAUGGCUGGCAGUUCUCUAUGUAGCAGGCGCUGUACUUUGGCCAAGCCAAUCUCCAUUUGCAACAUGUUUCUCCCUUACUUGACUCCACUAUAGAGAGAGUAAAAGCUAAAUUUUGAUGUUCCACCCCCACCCCCUUAUUGAUAUGAGAAAUAAGUCUUCUGGUGCAUUCCUCUCCAAUUUCUGUCUUCUUUCCACUUGAGCUGCCAGGAGAUGCAACAGUCGUUUUGAAACCAAAAAGAUAAAAACUGCAUACUAAGAAUGCAUGAACCUAAAGAUUUACAGAGCCUGGGACACUGGGGAUACUUGGAGUCAAUGUAUCAGCCUUGGACUGAUUCCCAUGGGACUUCUUAUUACCCAAGUGAAACAGUCCUUCCUUUCAUCUGUUAAGCCACUAUGGUAUGUUUUGCUGGUUCUCGUAGCCAAAUACAGUUUUGACUGCUAUACCCAUUUUUUUCUUAUGGAUGUUCAUGACUUCUUUUAUAUUGUGGAUUGUAUUGUGAAUAUGUAUCUUAUUUGUUGCAAAUAUUUUCUCAGUCUUUUUGUCCUUUAAUUUAAGAUAUUAUUCAAUGCUUGUAAGGUUUUUAUGUUUAUGCUGUUAUAUAUAUCCAUUUUUUCUGAUUUAUUCAAUUGAAAAAUUGAGAAACGUAAUUGAUAAUUUUGAACAUUAUCGAAGAAGACAUCAAUAAAACAAAACAUAGUCUAGCAAUUACAAAA